CUGUGGUCCAUAACUGUUCCCAGUCAGCGGACAUAAUGUUGUGUCCAACGUCUUGUGCGCAUUUAAUCAUAGCAGAUUUCACCGUUUCAUCCUGAGUGUUCCAUUUCAGCAGCAAGUUAUACAUUCUUGAAAAAUUCUUAGUUUUGGGUUCUAACAGUUCUGUUUCUAAUUUUGAUUUUUCCACCUGGAAGCCAAUUUUCUUGUCCAAAUUGUAUGCCUCCAUUAUCUGAUAAUAAUGAAGCCAGUCUCGCACUUUGUUUUUUAAUUUUUCAAAGCUCUGCAAUUUCAGUCUAUCUCCAUCUUGUUCCAAAAUUUCCCAAUAUUUCGGCCAUUUGACCUCCAUAUUGAGCUUUUUCAAGGCUUUCGCUUCCAUUGGUGACAGCCACCUUGGAGUUUUGUUUUCCAAUAAAUCCUUGUAUCUUAUCCAAACAUUAAACAGUGCUUUCCUGACAAUGUGAUUUUUAAAUGCUUUAUGUGCUUUUACCUUAUCAUACCACAGAUAUGCAUGCAAUCCAAACACAUUAUUAAAACCUUCUAGAUCCAAAAUGUCAGUGUUUUCAAAAAGCAGCCAUUCUUUCAACCAGCAAAAGGCUGCUGAUUCAUAAUAAAGUUUAAGGUCUGGCAGGGCAAAUCCACCUCUUUCCUUUGCAUCUGUUAGUAUUUUGAAUUUUAUUCUGGGCUUCUUGCCCUGCCAGACAAAUCUGGAAAUAUCUCUCUGCCACCUCUUGAAACAGUCCAUUUUGUCCACAAUUUGCAGUGUUUGAAACAAAAACAACAUUCUAGGCAAUACAUUCAUUUUUACCGCAGCAAUACGGCCCAGCAGUGAAAGCUUCAAAUUUGACCAAAUUUCUAAAUCUUUUUUUCACUUCAGCCCAACAUUUUUCAUAGUUAUCUUUAAAUAAAUUCCCAUUUUUUGCUGUCAUGUUAAUCCCCAGGUAUUUAACUUUCUUAACCACUGUUAAACCUGUCACAUUCUGAAACCUCUCUCUCUCCAUUGGUGUUAGAUUUUUCUCUAAAACCUUAGUUUUUAACUUGUUCAAUUUAAAUCCUGCAACCUGACCAAAUUCUUGAAUCAGUUCCAAAACCCUUUUGGUACUAGAUUCUGGCUCCUGUAACGUCAGUACUAAAUCAUCUGCAAAUGCUCUCAAUUUGUACUGUUUAGCUCCGACCUGUAUACCUUUAACCAACUGGUCCCUUCUAAUCAUGUUCAGCAAAACCUCCAGGACCGAAAUAAAAAGUAGUGGGGAAAUUGGGCAACCUUGUCGUGUCCCUUUUUCUAUUUUAAGUUCUUCCGUCACACAAAACGUUGUUACUCUUUACCUUCUUCGUCUUAUUUUAUCCUGUCUCUUAACUCUUCUACCUCCCCUCACACAAAAACCAACUGCACUCACUGUCUUUCUAAUUCCAACUGUCUGCCAACUGCUUUUCCAACUGCCUUUCCCAGCCAACCAACCAACUACUACCACCCAAACCUUGGGCAAAGCCCUUUUGUAAACAGGUAGGCUCCAGCUUUCCUAUUGGUCUACAUAUUAACCCUUUCUCUCCCCCUGUAUGGACAUUUUCACACAGGCAAACGCCACAACGGCGAAGGAAGAUCCUUUGGCAGCUGGCAAAGAGGGAUUAGCAAGAGAAAAUGAUCCGAUUCCUUCCCCGCUGAUUAUACCCAACUCUGUCUCCCUGUCUCCAUCCGCCACCAUUUAUUUCUGAGAUCUACCGUAUUUUUCGCUCUAUAGGACGCACUUUUUCCCCUCCAAAAAUGAAGGGGAAAUGUGUGUGCGUCCUAUGGAGCGAAUGCAGGCUUUCCCGGGCUUCCUGCAGCUCCGCGCCACCCUCCGGAUCCCGGCACGAAGCCGCGCGGGGCUCUGGAGGGUAGCGCGGAGCUGCCUGCGCUCCAGGGCUUCUUGCAGCUCCGCGCCACCCUCCCGAUCCCAGCGCGAAGCUGCGCGGGGCUCUGGAGGGUGGCGCGGAGCUGCCUGCGCUCCAGGGCUUGCAGCUCGCGCCACCCUCCAGACCCCGCGCGGCCGCGCGGGGCUCCGGUGGGUGGCGCGGAGCUGCCUGCACUCCCAGGGCUUCCUGCAGCUCCGCGCCACCCUCCCGAUCCCGGCGCGACGCCGCGCGGGGCUCCGGUGGGUUGCGCGGAGCUGCCUGCGCUCCAGGGCUUCUUGCAGCUCCGCGCCACCCUCCAGACCCCUGCGCGAAGCCGCGCGGGGCUCUGGAGGGUGGCGCGGAGCUGCCUGCGCUCCAGGGCUUCCUGCAGCUCCGGGCCACCCUCCCGAUCCCGGCGUGAAGCCGCGCGGGGCUCGGGAGGGUGGCGCGGAGCUGCCUGCAUUCCGAAGCCUGGUGCGCACUGAAGAGCGCGCCCAGGCUUCGCGCACCUCUCCACAAGCCUGGGGAGACCGGCUCGGUUCCCUAGGCUUGCGGAUAGCAGGCUGUUCUGGGGGCUGGGGUCGGGGAAGCUCAGGCUUCCCCCGCGCCUGCCCCGUGCCUGGGGAGGGAAUUUUUUUUUCUUUAUUUCCCCCCCCCCAAAAAAAAUAGGUACCUUGAACGCACCUUGUUUUAGAGGGAGAGAACAAGAAAAAAAAAUUUUCCCCUGUUCUCCCCCUCCUAUGAUCCGGUGCGUCCAAUGGUGCGAAAAAUACGGUAUCCCAGAAAUCUCUAGGCCCAUCAACUGAGGCCUGGGAGUAGAAGAUUUGAAAAAUCCUAGUCUAGGUAACAGACAAUUUAGAUUUGGAGCAGAAGGGAAGUCCGGGCAGGGAAAAUGAGAAGGGGGGAAGUCGGGGGGAUGGAGAGGCAGAGCAGAGGGGAAAGGCUGACCCAUACCACUUUCUCCAUAUGUUGCAAAGGCAACAGCGCCCCCAAACCCUUCUCUCCUUGUCUGAGAGACUGGGGGACUUCACCGCCUGCCCCCAGGGGCUCCUCUUCCAGCCUCAGCAUGAAGUCCUCUGCCAGGGCCACCGCCUGGACGCAGGUCUCCGGGUCACGAUCCUUGACCCAGCUCUGCACUUCCGGGGGCAGGACGGCCAGGAACUGCUCCAGGAUCAGCAGCUCCAGGAUCUGCUCCUUGGUGCGCCUCUCGGGCUUCAGCCACUGGUAGCACAGGAACCAGAGGCGGCUGCAGACCUCGCGGGGGCCCUCAGCCUCCCGGUAGCCAAAGUGCCGGAACCGCACAUAUUACAGGCACAGAACAAGGAAUAAAUCAGGAGUUUGAUUACUGAAAUAUACUCGGAGUCGAGAGUGGAUUUCAUGCUCUUUAUUCAGCUCAUAGUUGUGAGGAGGAAUGGAAGUUCCCCCAGAAUGUCUGCUUUAUAUACAUUACACAAUGGGCCCCACAUGAUUGGCUAAUUCCGGGAUUCUCCUGUAGGCCAAUCAGGUCGCGGAUUCACUUCCACCUGGAGCAGGAUUGGGUGGCUCCUGUGGACCAAUCAGACUGCUGCAUUCUGAAUCCUAUUGUUCUAGGACCAAUCAGACUGCUGCAUUUUGGAUUCUAUUCAACUCAGUACAUAACAAUUACUUUUCAAGAAAAGCUAUAGAUAUUAUCAUGCUGUUUCUGAACCAUACCAUUAGCACCCCAGGCAGGACUUAAAUGCAUUUGUUAAAUAUCAUAUCAAAAAUUUCAGUCUGUCUUUUAGGGCAUAUAUUAUUUUAUAUUAUUUUAUAUAUUAUAUUAUUUUAUUUUAAACAAAUUACCGUAUUUUUCGCACCAUAGGGCGCACCGGACCAUAGGGCGCACCCAGUUUUUAGGGGGGGGAAAUCAAGAAAAAAAAUCUUUUCCCCCCACUGCCCCAAAGAGCAGCGUACAGGCUGCGCAUAACCUCUCCUUGCAGGAGGGGUUGCGCGCAGCUAUGGAACAAGCCAAGUUUUGGCUUCCUCUUUAGCCCCGCGCAACCUCUCCUUGCCGGAAGACGCUGCGCAGGGCUAAAGAAGCCAUAGCCCCGUGCAGCCUCUCCUUGCCGAAGGGGCUGUGCGCAGCUAUGGAACAAGCCAAGGCAGCGAGCGGGAUGGAUCCCGCUCGCUGUUUUGGCUUCCCCUGUAGCCCCGUGCAGCCUCUCCCUCCCAGGAGAGGCUGCGUGGGGCUAAAGAAGCCAUAGCCCCAUGCAGCCUCUCCCUGCCGGAGGGGUUGCGCGCGGUUAUGGCACAAGCCUGCAUUCGCUCCAUAGGACGCACACACAUUUCCCCUCCAUUUUUGGAGGGGAAAAACUGCGUCCAAUAGAGCGAAAAAUACGGUAACUGAACAAAGAAAGCUAUCAUGUUAAUAGGAAGAGUACCAGCCAUCUGCAGCUUUUAAAAAUUAUUUAGAUGGAGGGGCAUUUAAUUGUAUGAAAGACCACAACAAUUGGAGGUAGUAUUGUUCAGACAGGUGACUGGAGCCCCUGCCCCUUUAAGACUUGUAUAGCAGAAUGAAUUUCAUCCACAAACUACACCUGUGGGCAUGCCCUCUGUUAUAAGAAACAAAAGGGAAAGAGGUGGGGGAACAGUAGCAGAACAGAAUAAUGGGGUUUGUUUUUGUGGGUGUUGCAAAUGCCUGGAUGAGAAUGCUGUCCUUUCUCUAUAAAGGAGGAGCUGGAGGAGGAAGGGACUUUGCAGUAUUUAGAGUCCGCCCCCCUCCUCCUUUUCAAAUUUCUUGGCUUCUCUGAGAAUCAGUGCUCCAUGGUUUUAACCCUUUUAAAGGACCACCGUUGGAAGCAAAAAAAAGGGAGAAAUGGUGAUGAGCAGCAGCGGCUGAUGUCCAUCGAGAAUGAUAAGGCGGAGGGCAGGGAGCCCGACAGUAGGUGGCGCCGGAGAGCCGAUGACCAGCGGAGCCGACCAAUUCUAGUUGAGCCACCCACCUUCUUCCUGAAUCUAAUCCAACAUCAAUACAUUAGUGACUAGGAGAGAGAGGGAAAUAAGUAGUGUACUAUAAACAUUUCUUAUUCUAUUUUUUCCAUUGGAAUUUUAUUAAAUUGUUUCAAGUAUCUCAAACUCUGCAACAAUUCAAACACGCUCAGGACAAAAGCAGCAACGAAAAAGAUUAAGCAGAGCCAUAAGCAGAUUUCAAGUAACUCCACUGGGGCAAAUAAAAUAACCAUCGAACGCCGACCUGGUGGAAGCAGGAACUCCAAAAUUGUAUAUGAGUUUCGUAAGAUGUCUCAGUCCGGGGAGCGCUCAUCAGAGGGUGACUGGAAACCUCUGCUUCAGAGUAAGUGUCAGAUCAGGCUCAAUCUGGGGAUGAGGAGCCAGGAUCCUUGGGACGAGGCAGAGCAAGGCCUGUCUGCACAAGAGCUCAGCUUCUGCACCAUCAAGGUCCCCACCC